rnacentral:rRNA from 1 species
AGUGAACGCUGGCGGUAGGCCUAACACAUGCAAGUCGAACGGCAGCACAGUAAGAGCUUGCUCUUACGGGUGGCGAGUGGCGGACGGGUGAGGAAUACAUCGGAAUCUACUUUUUCGUGGGGGAUAAUGUAGGGAAACUUACGCUAAUACCGCAUACGACCUACGGGUGAAAGCAGGGGAUCUUCGGACCUUGCGCGAUUGAAUGAGCCGAUGUCGGAUUAGCUAGUUGGCGGGGUAAAGGCCCACCAAGGCGACGAUCCGUAGCUGGUCUGAGAGGAUGAUCAGCCACACUGGAACUGAGACACGGUCCAGACUCCUACGGGAGGCGGCAGUGGGGAAUAUGGGACAAUGGGCGCAAGCCUGAUCCAGCCAUACCGCGUGGGUGAAGAAGGCCUUCGGGUUGUAAAGCCCUUUUGUUGGGAAAGAAAAGCAGCAGGUUAAUACCCCGCUGUUCUGACGGUACCCAAAGAAUAAGCACCGGCUAACUUCGU